rnacentral:rRNA from 1 species
GACGAACGCUGGCGGCGUGCUUAACACAUGCAAGUCGAACGCUGAAGCUCAGCUUUUGUUGGGUGGAUGAGUGGCGAACGGGUGAGUAACACGUGAGUAACCUGCCCCCUUCUUUGGGAUAACGCCCGGAAACGGGUGCUAAUACUGGAUAUUCACUGGUCUUCGCAUGGGGGUUGGUGGAAAGGGUUUUUCUGGUGGGGGAUGGGCUCGCGGCCUAUCAGCUUGUUGGUGGGGUGAUGGCCUACCAAGGCUUUGACGGGUAGCCGGCCUGAGAGGGUGACCGGUCACAUUGGGACUGAGAUACGGCCCAGACUGCUACGGGAGGCAGCAGUGGGGAAUAUUGCACAAUGGGCGAAAGCCUGAUGCAGCGACGCCGCGUGAGGGAUGGAGGCCUUCGGGUUGUGAACCUCUUUCGCUCAUGGUCAAGCCGCAACAAUGGUUGUGGUGAGGGUAGUGGGUAAAGAAGCGCCGGCUAACUACGUG